rnacentral:rRNA from 1 species
UACGUAGGGUCCGAGCGUUGUCCGGAAUUAUUGGGCGUAAAGAGCUCGUAGGCGGUCUGUCGCGUCGGCUGUGAAAACUCAGGGCUCAACCCUGAGCCUGCAGUCGAUACGGGCAGACUAGAGUUCGGUAGGGGAGACUGGAAUUCCUGGUGUAGCGGUGGAAUGCGCAGAUAUCAGGAGGAACACCGGUGGCGAAGGCGGGUCUCUGGGCCGAAACUGACGCUGAGGAGCGAAAGCGUGGGGAGCGAACAGG